UCUGUACUUCGCUGCGGACAGGCCAGCAUCGGUUUCUGUGGUCGGAGAAAGUCGCUGGGAAGCUGGCAGCCUGCGGGGUGUGUUAUAGCCCGGCGCGCAAUGCGGCCAUCUGGGACCGAGGACCGCGCUUCGGCAAGGAUGCUGGCGUAAUGGCCUCAUGCGGCCCGUCUUGAAACACGGACCAAGGAGUCUAACAUCUAUGCGAGUGUUUGGGUGGGAAGCCCGGGCGCGUAAUGAAAGUGAACGGAGGUGGGAGCUCUCGGGCGCACCAUCGACCGAUCCGGACGUUUUCUGAAGGAUUUGAGUAAGAGCAUAGCUGUUGGGACCCGAAAGAUGGUGAACUAUGCGUGAAUAGGGUGAAGCCAGAGGAAACUCUGGUGGAGGCUCGCAGCGGUUCUGACGUGCAAAUCGAUCGUCAAAUUUGCGUAUAGGGGCGAAAGACUAAUCGAACCAUCUAGUAGCUGGUUCCUGCCGAAGUUUCCCUCAGGAUAGCAGUAACGUAUUCAGUUUUAUGAGGUAAAGCGAACGAUUAGGGAGCUAGGGGUUGAAACAACCUUUAUCCAUUCUCGAACUUUAAAUAUGUAAGAAGUCCUUGUUGCUUUGUUGAACGUGGACACUCGAAUGCAGCGUUACUAGUGGGCCAUUUUUGGUAAGCAGAACUGGCGAUGCGGGAUGAACCGAACGUGGGGUUAAGGUGCCGGAAUGCACGCUCAUCAGACACCACAAAAGGUGUUGGUUCAUCCAGACAGCAGGACGGUGGCCAUGGAAGUCGGAAUCCGCUAAGGAGUGUGUAACAACUCACCUGCCGAAUGAACCAGCCCUGAAAAUGGAUGGCGCUCAAGCGUGCUACCCAUACCCCACCGUCUUCGUGGGAAGGUUUGCGAAGACGAGUAGGCAGGCGUGGAGGUUUUGUGACGAAGCCCAGGG
rnacentral:rRNA from 1 species